AUUGAACGCUGGCGGCAGGCCUAACACAUGCAAGUCGAGCGGAUGAAGGGGGCUUGCUCCUGGACUCAGCGGCGGACGGGUGAGUAAUGCCUAGGAAUCUGCCUGGUAGUGGGGGAUAACGUCCGGAAACGGGCGCUAAUACCGCAUACGUCCUGAGGGAGAAAGUGGGGGAUCUUCGGACCUCACGCUAUCAGAUGAGCCUAGGUCGGAUUAGCUAGUUGGUGGGGUAAAGGCCUACCAAGGCGACGAUCCGUAACUGGUCUGAGAGGAUGAUCAGUCACACUGGAACUGAGACACGGUCCAGACUCCUACGGGAGGCAGCAGUGGGGAAUAUUGGACAAUGGGCGAAAGCCUGAUCCAGCCAUGCCGCGUGUGUGAAGAAGGUCUUCGGAUUGUAAAGCACUUUAAGUUGGGAGGAAGGGCAGUAAGUUAAUACCUUGCUGUUUUGACGUUACCAACAGAAUAAGCACCGGCUAACUUCGUG
rnacentral:rRNA from 1 species